UGCCGCGUGUGUGAAGAAGGCCUUCGGGUUGUAAAGCACUUUCAGUUGUGAGGAAAAGUUAGUAGUUAAUACCUGCUAGCCGUGACGUUAACAACAGAAGAAGCACCGGCUAACUCCGUGCCAGCAGCCGCGGUAAUACGGAGGGUGCGAGCGUUAAUCGGAAUUACUGGGCGUAAAGCGCACGCAGGCGGUUUGUUAAGCUAGAUGUGAAAGCCCCGGGCUCAACCUGGGAUGGUCAUUUAGAACUGGCAGACUAGAGUCUUGGAGAGGGGAGUGGAAUUCCAGGUGUAGCGGUGAAAUGCGUAGAUAUCUGGAGGAACAUCAGUGGCGAAGGCGACUCCCUGGCCAAAGACUGACGCUCAUGUGCGAAAGUGUGGGUAGCGAACAGGAUUAGAUACCCUGGUAGUCCACACCGUAAACGCUGUCUACUAGCUGUGUGUGCCUUUAAGGCGUGCGUAGCGAAGCUAACGCGCUAAGUAGACCGCCUGGGGAGUACGGCCGCAAGGUUAAAACUCA
rnacentral:rRNA from 1 species